rnacentral:rRNA from 1 species
GAUGAACGCUGGCGGCGUGCCUAAUACAUGCAAGUCGAGCGAACAGACGAGGAGCUUGCUCCUCUGACGUUAGCGGCGGACGGGUGAGUAACACGUGGAUAACCUACCUAUAAGACUGGGAUAACUUCGGGAAACCGGAGCUAAUACCGGAUAAUAUAUUGAACCGCAUGGUUCAAUAGUGAAAGACGGUUUUGCUGUCACUUAUAGAUGGAUCCGCGCCGCAUUAGCUAGUUGGUAAGGUAACGGCUUACCAAGGCAACGAUGCGUAGACGACCUGAGAGGGUGAUAGGCCACACUGGAACUGAGACACGGUCCAGACUCCUACGGGAGGCAGCAGUAGGCAAUCUUCCGCAAUGGGCGAAAGCCAGACGGAGCAACGCCGCGUGAGUGAUGAAGGUCUUCGGAUCGUAAAACUCUGUUAUUAGGGAAGAACAAAUGUGUAAGUAACUAUGCACGUCUUGACGGUACCUAAUCAGAAAGCCACGGCUAACUACGUG